rnacentral:rRNA from 1 species
UUAGAUUNGUGGCGACGGGUGAGUACACGUAAGCAACCUGCCCUUAAGACGAGAAUAACAAUUGGAAACAGUUGCUAAGGCUGGAUAGGAAAUAAAAAGGCAUCUUUUUAUUUUUAAAAGACCUUUUUCGGAAGGUAUGCUUAAAGAGGGGCUUGCGUCACAUUAGUUAGUUGGUAGGGUAAAGGCCUACCAAGACGAUGAUGUGUAGCUGGACUGAGAGGUUGAACAGCCACAUUGGGACUGAGACACGGCCCAAACUCCUACGGGAGGCAGCAGUAGGGAAUUUUCGGCAAUGGAGGAAACUCUGACCGAGCAACGCCGCGUGAACGACGAAGUACUUCGGUAUGUAAAGUUCUUUUAUUGAAGAAGAAACAAUAGUGGAAAAACUAUCUUGACGUUAUUCAAUGAAUAAGCCCCGGCUAACUAUGUGCCAGCAGCCGCGGUAAUACAUAGGGGGCGAGCGUUAUCCGGAAUUAUUGGGCGUAAAGGGUGCGUAGGCGGUUUAAUAAGUCUCUAGUUUAAUUUCAACGCUUAACGUUGUCCUGCUAGAGAAACUGUUUAACUAGAGUGAGAUAGAGGUAAGCGGAAUUCCAUGUGUAGCGGUAAAAUGUGUAAAUAUAUGGAGGAACACCAGAGGCGUAGGCGGCUUACUGGGUCUUUACUGACGCUGAUGCACGAAAGCGUGGGGAGCAAACAGGAUUAGAUACGCUGGUAGUCCACGCCGUAAACUAUGAGUACUAAGUGUCGGGGUUAAACUCGGUACUGAAGUUAACACAUUAAGUACUCCGCAUGAGUAGUACGUACGCAAGUAUGAAACUUAAAGGAAUUGACGGGAUCCCGCACAAGUGGUGGGAUCAUGUUGUUUAAUUCGAAGAUACACGAAAAACCUUACCAGGUCUUGACAUACUCUGCAAAGCUAUAGAAAUAUAGUGGAGGCUAUCAGGGAUACAGGUGGUGCAUGGUUGUCGUCAGCUCGUGUCGUGAGAUGUUAGGUUAAGUUCUAAAACGAGCGCAACCCCUGUCGUUAAUUGCCAGCACGUUAUGGUGGGGACUUUAGCGAGACUGCCAAUGAAAAAUUGGAGGAAGGUGGGGAUUACGUCAAAUCAUCAUGCCCCUUAUGAUCUGGGCUACAAACGUGAUACAAUGGCUAUUACGAAGAGUAGCUGAAACGCGAGUUUUUGGCAAAUCUCAAAAAAAUAGUCUCAGUUCGGAUUGAAGUCUGCAACUUGACUUCAUGAAGUUGGAAUCGCUAGUAAUCGCGAAUCAGCAUGUCGCGGUGAAUACGUUCUCGGGGUUUGUACACACCGCCCGUCAAACCACGAAAGGACAUNCCGAAC